rnacentral:snRNA from 1 species
GUCUCUUCGGAGACAUCUGAUAAAAUUGGAACCAUACAGAGAAGAUUAGCAUGGCCCAUGCCUAAGGAUGACAUGCACAAAUCGAGAAAUGGUCCAAAUUUUG